rnacentral:rRNA from 1 species
CACUCCUGCGGGAGGCAGCAGUGGGGAAUAUUGGACAAUGGGCGCAAGCCUGAUCCAGCCAUGCCGCGUGAGUGAUGAAGGCCCUAGGGUUGUAAAGCUCUUUCACCGGUGAAGAUAAUGACGGUAACCGGAGAAGAAGCCCCGGCUAACUUCGUGCCAGCAGCCGCGGUAAUACGAAGGGGGCUAGCGUUGUUCGGAUUUACUGGGCGUAAAGCGCACGUAGGCGGACUAUUAAGUCAGGGGUGAAAUCCCGGGGCUCAACCCCGGAACUGCCUUUGAUACUGGUAGUCUUGAGUUCGAGAGAGGUGAGUGGAAUUCCGAGUGUAGAGGUGUAAUUCGUAGAUAUUCGGAGGAACACCAGUGGCGAAGGCGGCUCACUGGCUCGAUACUGACGCUGAGGUGCGAAAGCGUGGGGAGCAAACAGGAUUAGAUACCCCAGUAGUCCCAUG